GACAGAGGGUGCAAACGUUGUUCGGAAUUACUGGGCGUAAAGCGCGUGUAGGCAGCGACUGCAAGUCGGGUGUGAAAGCCCUGGGCUCAACCUAGGAAGUGCACUCGAAACUGCAGGGCUUGAGUUCUGGAGAGGAAGGCGGAAUUCUCGGUGUAGAGGUGAAAUUCGUAGAUAUCGAGAGGAACAUCGGUGGCGAAGGCGGCCUUCUGGACAGUGACUGACGCUGAGACGCGAAAGCGUGGGGAGCAAACAGG
rnacentral:rRNA from 1 species